rnacentral:rRNA from 1 species
GACGAACGCUGGCGGCGUGCUUAACACAUGCAAGUCGAGCGGUAAGGCCCUUUCGGGGGUACACGAGCGGCGAACGGGUGAGUAACACGUGGGUGACCUGCCCUCAGCUCUGGGAUAAGCCUGGGAAACCGGGUCUAAUACCGGAUAUGACUCCAUGACGCAUGUUGUGGGGUGGAAAGCCUUGUGCGGCUGAGGAUGGGCCCGCGGCCUAUCAGCUUGUUGGUGGGGUGANGGCCUACCAAGGCGACGACGGGUAGCCGGCCUGAGAGGGCGACCGGCCACACUGGGACUGAGACACGGCCCAGACUCCUACGGGAGGCAGCAGUGGGGAAUCUUGCGCAAUGGGCGAAAGCCUGACGCAGCAACGCCGCGUGGGGA